AUACACCCAUCGACGAACUCAUUCGUACGGCAGGAGCGGGGGACCCAGGUAAGUCGCCGGACCGGACGACUCACGUGGCGCAGCGCGUGACACAGCGCGCCGCACCGCGUGUUCGCACCGGGACGGCUUGGGGUAAAGCCGUGCCUCUCACGGGGCGCGACCGGGCACCUCCCCGCCCGAACCCGACAGCUCACCUCGCAGGCGUAGGAGAGGAACGUC
rnacentral:sRNA from 1 species